UACGGAGGGUGCGAGCGUUGUCCGGAAUCACUGGGCGUAAAGGGCGCGUAGGCGGCGCGGGUAGUCAUCGGUGAAAGUUCAGGGCUCAACUCUGAAUCGGCCGGUGAUACUCUCGUGCUUGAGCACUGUAGAGGCAGGUGGAAUUCCGGGUGUAGCGGUGGAAUGCUGUAGAGAUCCGGAAGAACACCGGUGGCGAAGGCGGCUCGCUGGGACGGUACUGACGCUGAGGCGGCGAAAAGCGUGGGGAGCGAACAGG
rnacentral:rRNA from 1 species